rnacentral:rRNA from 1 species
GUUUGAUCCUGGCUCAGAGCGAACGUUAGCGGCGCGCCUAACACAUGCAAGUCGCACGAGAAAGGGCUUCGGCCCCGGUAAAGGGGCGCACGGGUGCGUAACACGUGGGCAAUCUACCCUAAGGCGGGGGAUAACGUCCCGAAAGGGACGCUAAUACCGCAUGAGACCACGGAUCCUUCGGGAACUGCGGUCAAAGCUGGCCUCUUCAUGAAAGCUAGCACCUUAGGACGAACCCGCGGCCCAUCAGCUAGUUGGUAAGGUAAUGGCUUACCAAGGCUAAGACGGGUAGCUGGUCUGAGAGGAUGAUCAGCCACACUGGAACUGAAACACGGUCCAGACUCCUACGGGAGGCAGCAGUGGGGAAUAUUGGACAAUGGGCGCAAGCCUGAUCCAGCGACGCCGCGUGAGUGAUGAAGGCCUUCGGGUUGUAAAGCUCUGUUGGGGGAGAAGAAAACGGCUGGCGUGAAUAACUCCAGUCCUUGACGGUAUCCCUUUAGAAAGCACCGGCUAACUCUGUGCCAGCAGCCGCGGUAAGACAGAGGGUGCGAACGUUGCUCGGAAUUACUGGGCGUAAAGCGCGUGUAGGCGGACUGGUAAGUCGGACGUGAAAUCCCUGGGCUCAACCCAGGAACUGCAUCCGAAACUAUCAGUCUGGAGUGGUGGAGAGGAAAGCAGAAUUCCUGGUGUAGAGGUGAAAUUCGUAGAUAUCAGGAGGAACACCGGUGGCGAAGGCGGCUUUCUGGACACUAACUGACGCUGAGACGCGAAAGCGUGGGGAGCAAACGGGAUUAGAUACCCUGGUAGUCCACGCCGUAAACGAUGAGUGCUGGGUGUCGCGGGUUUUGACCCCUGCGGUGCGUAGCUACGCGUUAAGCACUCC